rnacentral:rRNA from 1 species
ACACUGAGGCGUGAUGACGAGGCACUACGGUGCUGAAGCAACAAAUGCCCUGCUUCCAGGAAAAGCCUCUAAGCAUCAGGUAACAUCAAAUCGUACCCCAAACCGACACAGGUGGUCAGGUAGAGAAUACCAAGGCGCUUGAGAGAACUCGGGUGAAGGAACUAGGCAAAAUGGUGCCGUAACUUCGGGAGAAGGCACGCUGACAUGUAGGUGAAGUGAUUUACUCAUGGAGCUGAAGUCAGUCGAAGAUACCAGCUGGCUGCAACUGUUUAUUAAAAACACAGCACUGUGCAAACACGAAAGUGGACGUAUACGGUGUGACGCCUGCCCGGUGCCGGAAGGUUAAUUGAUGGGGUCAGCGCAAGCGAAGCUCCUGAUCGAAGCCCCGGUAAACGGCGGCCGUAACUAUAACGGUCCUAAGGUAGCGAAAUUCCUUGUCGGGUAAGUUCCGACCUGCACGAAUGGCGUAAUGAUGGCCAGGCUGUCUCCACCCGAGACUCAGUGAAAUUGAACUCGCUGUGAAGAUGCAGUGUACCCGCGGCAAGACGGAAAGACCCCGUGAACCUUUACUAUAGCUUGACACUGAACAUUGAGCCUUGAUGUGUAGGAUAGGUGGGAGGCUUUGAAGUGUGGACGCCAGUCUGCAUGGAGCCGACCUUGAAAUACCACCCUUUAAUGUUUGAUGUUCUAACGUGGACCCGUAAUCCGGGUUGCGGACAGUGUCUGGUGGGUAGUUUGACUGGGGCGGUCUCCUCCUAAAGAGUAACGGAGGAGCACGAAGGUUGGCUAAUCCUGGUCGGACAUCAGGAGGUUAGUGCAAUGGCAUAAGCCAGCUUGACUGCGAGCGUGACGGCGCGAGCAGGUGCGAAAGCAGGUCAUAGUGAUCCGGUGGUUCUGAAUGGAAGGGCCAUCGCUCAACGGAUAAAAGGUACUCCGGGGAUAACAGGCUGAUACCGCCCAAGAGUUCAUAUCGACGGCGGUGUUUGGCACCUCGAUGUCGGCUCAUCACAUCCUGGGGCUGAAGUAGGUCCCAAGGGUAUGGCUGUUCGCCAUUUAAAGUGGUACGCGAGCUGGGUUUAGAACGUCGUGAGACAGUUCGGUCCCUAUCUGCCGUGGGCGCUGGAGAACUGAGGGGGGCUGCUCCUAGUACGAGAGGACCGGAGUGGACGCAUCACUGGUGUUCGGGUUGUCAUGCCAAUGGCACUGCCCGGUAGCUAAAUGCGGAAGAGAUAAGUGCUGAAAGCAUCUAAGCACGAAACUUGCCCCGAGAUGAGUUCUCCCUGAGACUUUAGGUCUCCUGAAGGAACGUUGAAGACGACGACGUUGAUAGGCCGGGUGUGUAAGCGCAGCGAUGCGUUGAGCUAACCGGUACUAAUGAACCGUGAGGCUUAACCUUACA